rnacentral:rRNA from 2 species
UACGUAGGUCGCAAGCGUUGUCCGGAUUUACUGGGCGUAAAGAGCGCGCAGGCGGCUGGUCAAGUCCGAUGUGAAAUCUCCCGGCUCAACUGGGAAACUGCAUCGGAAACUGAUCGGCUUGAAGAUGGGAGAGGGUAGUGGAAUUCCCGGUGUAGUGGUGAAAUGCGUAGAUAUCGGGAGGAACACCAGUGGCGAAGGCGACUACCUGGCCCAUUCUUGACGCUGAGGCGCGAAAGCUAGGGGAGCGAACGGG